GCGGAGGAAAAGAAACCAACAGGGAUUGCCCCAGUAACGGCGAGUGAAGCGGCAACAGCUCAAAUUUGAAAUCUGGUCCCCCCGCGGGGCCCGAGUUGUAAUUUGAAGAGGAUGCUUCUGGCAAGGUGCCGUCCGAGUUCCCUGGAACGGGACGCCGCAGAGGGUGAGAGCCCCGUACGGUCGGACGCCGAGCCUCUGUGAAGCUCCUUCGACGAGUCGAGUAGUUUGGGAAUGCUGCUCAAAAUGGGAGGUAAACCCCUUCUAAAGCUAAAUACCGGCCAGAGACCGAUAGCGCACAAGUAGAGUGAUCGAAAGAUGAAAAGCACUUUGAAAAGAGAGUUAAAAAGCACGUGAAAUUGUUGAAAGGGAAGCGCUUGCGACCAGACUCGCGCCCGUCGGAUCAGCCGUCGCUCGUCGGCGGCGCACUCCUUCGGGCUCGGGCCAGCAUCAGUUCGCCUCGGGGGGAGAAAGGCGGCAGGAAUGUGGCUCUACGGAGUGUUAUAGCCUGUCGUACAAUACCCCCGGGCGGACUGAGGACCGCGC
rnacentral:rRNA from 1 species